CCUACGGGUGGCAGCAGUGAGGAAUAUUGGUCAAUGGACGCAAGUCUGAACCAGCUAUGCCGCGUGCAGGAAGACGGCUCUAUGAGUUGUAAACUGCUUUUGUACGAGGGUAAACUCAGAUACGCGUAUCUGUCUGAAAGUAUCGUACGAAUAAGGAUCGGCUAACUCCGGGCCAGCAGCCGCGGUAAUACGGAGGGUUCAAGCGUUAUCCGGAUUUAUUGGGUUUAAAGGGUGCGUAGGCGGUCGGAUAAGUUAGAGGUGAAAUCCCGGGGCUCAACUUCGGAAUUGCCUCUGAUACUGUGCGGCUAGAGAGUAGUUGCGGUAGGCGGAAUGUAUGGUGUAGCGGUGAAAUGCUUAGAGAUCAGACAGAACACCGAUUGCGAAGGCAGCUUACCAAGCUACUUCUGACGUUGAGGCACGAAAGCGUGGGGAGCAAACAGGAUUAGAUACCCGUGUAGUC
rnacentral:rRNA from 1 species